rnacentral:lncRNA from 1 species
CAACAGCAGAAGGCCACCAAUGGGUCUUCAAUGUAACGAGAAUUCCCGCACCCGUAGGUGUCCUUCAGCUGGCCCCUAAAAAUAUGUAUACUAGUACAGUGAUAAUGGACGUCAUACUAAACUCCGAAUUAUACACAAGAAACUAAAAUUAAAAAUCAUACAAGACUAACAAAGGCAAGAGGCUCCUGACUUGGGACAGGCGCAAAAUUGCGGCGGGGUUAAACAUGUUUAUGAUAUCUCAACCCUCCCCCUAUACCUCUAGCCAAUGUAGAAAAGUAAACGCAUAACAAUA